GACGGAGGAUGCAAGCGUUAUCCGGAAUGAUUGGGCGUAAAGCGUCCGCAGGUGGCAGUUCAAGUCUGCUGUCAAAAACCGGGGCUUAGCUUCGGAAAGGCAGUGGAAACUGAACAGCUAGAGUAUGGUAGGGGCAGAGGGAAUUCCUGGUGUAGCGGUGAAAUGCGUAGAGAUCAGGAAGAACAUCGGUGGCGAAGGCGCUCUGCUGGACCAUAACUGACACUCAGGGACGAAAGCUAGGGGAGCGAAUGGG
rnacentral:rRNA from 1 species